UGGAGUGGACGCGCGAAGUGGGGGCGCACUCCUCAGCCAUCCAAAACCCUGCUCGUGAGAUGCGCAGCUGAGAGCAGCAUCGGGCACAUCUCCCACCUCCAAUCCGCUUGGCUUUUUUGUGCACAAGAUCUUACUGUUUUACUUGAAGGACAGUUUUGUUUUGCGCCGUUGCUUUUUGGCACCGGCGCCCCCCCCCCAAGAGCAGAGGCACAUUGUCUGUGGCGCAGCGCGACAGUGCGGUGUCCGAUUACAAACCACCGAGGAGCCAUCGGCAAAGAGCGUUUCUCUGUGGGGCAGAAAUAGCACGCAGGACUCCGGAGGGACGAGAGAGAGAGCACAGAGGAAUCUCUGCAGAGAAAUGAGUUUUACUGAGGUCGAUUUCUGGCAAGAGACGCAACAGAACGGAGGAUAUAUCAUCUUCAGCUCAUCUUUAUUUUUUGUUUCUCCAUACCACUCUUCUCACCGGGACAAGACACGCAGCUUCGCUCCCUACUAGAUGAACGGGAAUUGGGCACCUCACUUGGUGUGUCUCUCCAAUGCUCUUGGUCCCUGAGGAGGAGUGAGCUAAGCCCAGGCCCCCAUGGGAUGCCCUGUUACCCAGCAUGCACUGCUGCUGCUGCAGUGCAUGCUGGUCCUGCGGCCCGGAGGCGUGGCCAGUAGAAGAGGGCCGGUGCUGCUGCCUGAAUCGCCUUGUCACAAGACAGAGCACCCGCUCAUCCCACACUCAGCGAUGGAGCCAUGGAUCUUCAGGUUCAAAGCAGAAGGCACGGUGGAUUACUCACAGCUGACCUUCGACCCUGGCCAGAACGAACUGAUCGUCGGUGCCAGAAAUCACCUCUUCAGACUCAAUCUGGAAGACCUUACACUGAUCCAGGAGGCUGAGUGGCACUGCGAUGAGUUCACCAAGGGAGCCUGCUUCAGCCGUGGAAAGUCUGAGGAGGAGUGCCAGAACUACAUCAGGGUGCUGUUGGUGAAUGGGAACAGGUUGUUCACCUGUGGAACCAACGCCUUCACCCCCAUCUGCACCAACCGAACGCUGACAAAUUUGACAGAGAUCCACGAUCAGAUCAGCGGGAUGGCUCGGUGUCCCUACAACCCGCUCCACAACUCCACUGCCCUCAUUACCUCCAGCGGGGAGCUUUACGCUGCCACGGCCAUGGACUUCUCUGGGCGAGACCCCGCCAUCUACCGUAGCCUGGGUGGCCUACCACCGCUGCGCACUGCCCAGUACAACUCCAAGUGGCUGAACGAACCAAACUUUGUCUCCUCCUACGAUAUCGGCAACUUCACCUACUUCUUCUUCCGGGAAAACGCAGUGGAGCAUGACUGUGGCCGGACGGUAUUUUCCCGCGCAGGGCGUGUAUGUAAGAAUGACAUCGGCGGUCGCUUCCUCCUGGAGGACACGUGGACCACCUUUAUGAAGGCCAGGCUGAACUGCUCUCGACCGGGGGAAAUCCCCUUCAACUACAACGAGCUGCAGGGAACGUUUUACCUGCCUGAGCUGGAGCUGCUCUACGGCAUUUUCACUACCAACGUAAACAGCAUUGCUGCGUCUGCGGUGUGUGCCUUCAAUCUCAGUGCCAUAUCACAGGUUUUCAACGGGCCCUUCAAGUACCAGGAGAACUCACGGUCAGCGUGGCUGCCCUACCCCAACCCUAACCCAGACUUUCAGUGCGGCACCAUUGACUCCGGCUCCUACGUGAACCUGACUGAAAGAAACCUGCAGGACGCUCAGAAGUUUUUGCUGAUGCAUGAGGUUGUCCAACCCGUGGUUCCCGUGCCCUACUUCAUGGAGGACAACGUGCGCUUCAGUCAUGUGGCAGUGGAUGUGGUGCAGGGGAAAGACAUGCUGUUUCACAUCAUAUACUUGGCUACUGAUUAUGGUACUAUCAGGAAAGUGCUUUCCCCUCUCAAUCAGUCCACGGGGAGCUGCCUUUUGGAGGAGAUUGAGUUGUUCCCGCCCAGGAAGAGACAGCCGAUCCGAAGCCUGCUGAUCCUGCACAGCCGCAGCGAGCUUUAUGUGGGUGUUAGAGACCAGGUCAUCAAGAUCCCGCUGAAGAGAUGCAGCUACCACAAGAGCAGAGAAGCCUGUGUGGGAGCCAGGGACCCAUACUGUGGUUGGGACCUGCUAUUGAAGAAGUGCACCACGCUGGAGGAAAGUGUCAGGAUGAGCCAAUGGGAGCAGAGCAUCACAAAAUGCCCUAUCCGUAAUGUGACUGUUGAUGGAGGCUUUGGUGCCUGGUCAGGCUGGUCAACAUGUAGUCAUAGCGACGGAGGCAGCGCGGGGUCCUGUCUGUGUCGGACACGAGCCUGUGAUAACCCUGCCCCUCAGUGUGGGGGCCAGCAUUGCUAUGGCAUCAGUGUGGAGGUCGCAAACUGCUCCAGAAACGGGGCGUGGACUCCCUGGACUUCCUGGUCUCCCUGCAGCACCAGCUGCGGCAUCGGCUUCCAGGUCCGUCAACGCUCCUGCAGCAACCCGACCCCUCGCCACGGCGGACGAGUGUGUGUGGGCCAGAACCGCGAGGAGAGAUACUGUAAUGAACACCUGCCCUGCCCACCACAUGUUUACUGGUCGGCCUGGUCGGCAUGGGAACGCUGCACCGUGCCCUGUGGCGGAGGGAUCCAGUCACGACGAAGAACCUGUGAGAAUGGCAACGACUGUCCCGGGUGUGGUCAGGAGUACCAGUCAUGCAACACCCUGCCAUGUCCUGACUUAAAGAAGACCACACCCUGGACUCCCUGGACGCCCGUCAACAUCUCCGACAACGGCGGGCACUAUGAGCAGCGUUUCCGCUACACUUGCAAAGCUCGCAUCCCAGAUCCCAGCCUGCUAGAAGUAGGCAGGCAGAGGAUCGAGAUGCGCUACUGCUCCAGCGACGGAUCCACCGGCUGCUCCACUGACGGAGAGGUGCUUCGUCUCGGGAGGAUAUCAGGCCACACAGUGAACGGUGGCUGGUCAUCCUGGAGUUCCUGGUCCCAGUGCAGCAGAGACUGCAGCCGGGGAAUCCGCAGCCGGAAGAGGACCUGCAGUAACCCAGAGCCCAAGUACGGAGGUCAGACCUGCCUGGGGCCAGCACAGGAGUAUCAGGAGUGUAACAUCACCCCUUGUCCAGUGGACGGCAGCUGGUCAUGCUGGUCUUCAUGGUCCAAGUGUUCUGUGACGUGUGGAGGAGGACAUUACAUGAGGACGCGCACCUGCAGCAACCCCUCGCCAGCUUACGGAGGGGACAUAUGCCUGGGCCUGCACACUGAGGAAGCACUGUGCAACACACAAUCCUGUCCAGAGAGCUGGUCCAGCUGGUCGGAGUGGUCCCGCUGUGACUCCAACGGCGCCCAGAUGCGUGUGCGUCACUGUGAUGUCCUGUUUCCCACUGGAAACCAGUGCUCAGGAAACAACAGCGAGACCAGGCCAUGCUCCCCUGACUCCAAUUUAAUACCAGAAGUCUCCAUUGCACGCUCGAGUCAGGAGGAAAGGCACUGUGGAGACUUCAACCUCUUCCACAUGAUCGCCGUGGGGCUCAGCAGCUCCAUCCUCGGCUGUCUGGUUACCCUGCUGGUCUACUCGUACUGCCAACGCUACCAGCAGCAGUCGCACGACGCCACCGUCAUCCACCCCAUUUCAGCUGCACCGCUCAACACCAGCAUCACCAACCACAUCAACAAACUGGACAAAUACGACUCGGUGGAAGCCAUCAAGCCAGAUGUGUCGGUACUCUUGCCUUUGGAUGACCCCGCCAUGCACCAGCCUCUCUCUGCUAACAUGGGGGUGUCCAUGCGUGGCCUGGAGAUUUUCUACUAACCUCUGACCUCUACAACAUCUCGCCUAUUGACCCCCUUCCCAACAACUCUUUGACCCUAAGCACUACUACUUCCUCUUCCCCACCGUGUCCCGCCAUACCACUUCCUGUGGCACUUCCUGUGUGUGGCAGGCCUUCAACAAAAACAAUCUGAUUCUGGAGGAAAGAAAUAAGUACUUCAACCCACAGCUUGCCGGAAAGACAUAUACCAAUGCAUAUUUCACCGACCUCAACACCUACGAUGACUAUUAAGCCUCGAGUCGGCAGUUCAGACUCCAUACCAUAGCGGAGACACCAACCCUAUCAUCCAUUUUGACUGUAUUCUUUUGUUUGUGCUUUGUAUUGAGAUUCGUGACACCAUGCGUGGGAUAGUCCCACUCUCAGACUCUAUGGCAGCUGGUAUGUAGUGAAAACCCAGACACAAAGUGUUGCCAACAGAUGGAAAAGCCCACUUUCUCUCAGGUGCCUUGGGGUACACUUGGAAAGGUACAUUUUGGGGGACAAAUCUUGCCUUGACUCUCACUGAGAAACGGACAACUGGAUUUCCCAAUUUGGACAAAAAAUGGAAAAAUAAGAACUCAACUCAAAGAGACUGUGGGAAAUGUGAUCCCCUUUCAACUUUCCUGUGACGCCUCUAAAACAGACCUGUAUUUGUAAUGAUGGGAAAUGACCACAAAGCCGCUUUGCAUGACUUCAUCUGACGUGUUUUCUCUGCCUUUCUGUUUUGUUGUGUUUUUUUUGCAUGAUUGAUUGCAUUCCAGGGUUUGGAGACUCGCAAGCAUUUUUUUGUUGUUGUUGCUGGUCUUAAGUUCAGGACUGGUUUUGGAA